rnacentral:rRNA from 1 species
GUCCUUUUGUUUAUUUAUUUAAGGUCUGACCUGCCCAAUGAGGAAUUCAAUGGCCGCAGUAUUUUAACUGUGCUAAGGUAGCAUAAUCAUUUGUCUUUUAAUUGAGGGCUGGAAUGAAAGGUUGGACGAGAUAUAGACUUUCUUUAAUUUAAUUUUAAGAAUUUAAUUUUUGAGUUAAAAAGCUUAAAUUUGUUUGUUGGACGAGAAGACCCUAUAGAUCUUUAUAAUUUUAUAUUUUAAUAAUUUGGUGGUUAUGUUUAUUAUAAGUAGAAUAAUUAUUUGGUUGGGGUGACUGUAGAAUUUUAUUAACUUCUAUUGUUUAGAUUUCAUUAAUUGGUGUUUUUUUGAUCCAUAUUUUUAUGAUUAAAAGAUUAAGUUACCUUAGGGAUAACAGCGUAAUUUUUUCGGAGAGUUCAUAUUGAUGAAGAAGUUUGCGACCUCGAUGUUGGAUUAAAAUAAGUUAUGGAUGCAGGAGUCUAUAUACUAGGUCUGUUCGACCUUUAAAUUUUU